GGCAUUUAUUGUCGAGAAAGAAUAAUGUAAAUGACAAAUAUUUCUAAUCUCCAGCACAUUCACAGAAUGUCACCACACACUCCAUCUACUCACAUCUCCUCCAAACAUUGAAGAAAAGAAACGUCAACACACUUUAAAAUAACUCGCAGCAGCACCAGGCUCUCUCAGUCACUGCAGCGUCUCCUUCGUUCAUAUUAAUAAAUUAAAGACAACUGUCCACAUACAAUUCAUGAUGCUCAUAAGAUUAAUGUUUAUUUGCACUGCCCAAACCGUUAUAAACUGUGAGGAUUAGUAUUCAAGUAUUCCCUUUCCGGCUAUUUCUGUGCUGGAUAUUAUACUAAAUAUCUGGUUCUGUGAGUUACCUAAUGUGGCACAGUACAAGAAUAACAUUUAAGUAAACAUUAUGUACAUGAAUUAACAAAAAAAGAAAUAAAAAACAAAAACUUGCAAAUGUAUAUUUGCUUACAGUGCAAUCCCCAUGCAAUUCCACAUGCAGUUAUAGAAGAUGCCUGAAGAAGACCUUAUUGACCAUGCAUGAGCUUGUGGCCUGCCAUCCAAAUAACAAUAUAUUAUUUCCAUCUAAUUUCAGUGAAACAUCAAAUGACAACCCCUCCUCAUUUUUAUGGUAGUGAUAUUCACCUGCAGAGAAGAUGACGUCCAACAAUAGUUUGCCAAAAAUAUUGGCGCACUAAAAGAAUCUCGUUUCAUCACGACAGGACAAACCAAACCGGGCCUUGCCACUCUGCAACCAGCCACAGCAUGCAGACAUGGUAACGUAAAUAGAAUCAAUCUGAACCAUGGUUGUAAAUCGGCACAACUGUAUACAAAACUUUUUGAGGGAAAACGGACAAAUAAAUAUUAUAACCUCAUGGUGAAUGUAUGCAUGUACCAUGGAGUAGCAAUGAUUUAAGCACUGGCACAAAUAGAUCAACAAAACAAAAAAAGCACACAAACAACCAGCCUUAACAAACCUCUCAAUCUGUCAUUUGACACUAUAUAACAAAUGCCAAAAAAAACAAUCACAUUAGACAGGCGUUGGUAAAGGAAAACAAGUAAAAAAAAUCACUGAAAAGCAACAUGUUUUUCCAGUGGUGUCAGCUGGGUGUAACAAAGUCUUCACUGUGCAAUCGUAAUGUUAUUUUAAAAAGGCAACAAAAUCAAAUGCCGAGCAUAAAAAGGCAGACUUUAAAACUAACAUUCCCUGUUUCUGUGACACAAAACAUGACAGAAGCGUUUGAUGUAUAGCUCAUGUAAAAGGUGCAACAAAUAUUCAAGUAAAUACCUCAAAUCUUCAGUGAACCGCUGUGACUUUUAAACUGAGCAGUUGACCUUUGCCAAUUUACUGAAAGAUUCCCAAGUUCUGUAUUGUAUGAUUAACAUAAACGUGUUUAAGUAGAAUUAUUUUAAAAAACACAAAAAACCCCACAUUGUUCAAAUCUUUCCAUAUAUGUCCACUAGGGGUGCAACAAUACUCGUAUUGAUAUUGAACCGUUCGAUACAGUGCUUUCGGUUCGGUACGCAUAUGUAUCGAACAAUACAAAAUUUUUUUAUUUAUUUUAUCAACUUUUCUUCUGACGAUGCUGUCUGUGUUGAGCGCUCAGUGGAUCUGCGUUCGACUACUCCGCCUAGGCUGCACUGUCGAGUGCAGUUCCACUGAGCGGAGCGCAAGCUAGCGAGACAGAAGCUAAGCUCGUUGCAACAUGGCAACUGCCUCAACGCUAGCUGAAAUUGAACCUCCCCCACCCUCAUUCACAUCUGGCGUUUGGUUUUCAUGUGAAGUAUGACCCUAUGGUAAGCGCGUCAUGGACAAAAGUAACACAGUAUGUCAGAUGUGCCACGCAAUGCUCAACUGCAUUGGUGGGAACUAGUAUGAAAGACAUACUAGUUCUUACAUACUAGUAGCUAACUGGACGGCGUCAACAGUUAGCUCAUUAACGUGUUGACGCCGUCCAGCCCCACGCACAGGGCGAUCCGCGGUAACUUGUUAACGGAGAUUUGCCGCAUUAUGGCGUUAAUGUCAUUUUAACGAGAUUAACA
ensembl:lncRNA